GCGAGACAUUUUCCUCCUUAUCCCGUUCGCAAUGGCACUGCAUGAAUUCACGGCUAUGCAUAACGACAGACCGCGGAUCAUACGGUACCAUAGCGGACGGUGAUGAGGUUAAUGAAGUAGUGAG
rnacentral:pre_miRNA from 15 species